ACGGAAGCCCGGUGAGGCCAAGGUCGAUCCGGAAGAGAAGGUUCGAUCUCCCGACCCGGGCGCCCAGCACGGUGCUCGGCACCCACGCGGAGUCAUAGCCGCGAUAAUGGCAGAAGUGUUGCGGGCCUGCGUAAUUGCGAAAUAUGGAUGGUGUCGACGGCCCUUUGGGUGGGGUUGCAACCGGAAGUAUCGCAAGAUCGCCGAGGCCAACCCACGCAGCCCCGAAGUGCACGCAUGGUAACCGAGCUCCGUGCUAGCGGGCGGCGGACCGAAUUGUUCGGGACGUCGCCCGCUUUGCAUU
rnacentral:ncRNA from 1 species